CUCUGUGACUCCUACGGGAGGCAGCAGUCGGGGAAUAUUGCACAAUGGGGGAAACCCUGAUGCAGCCAUGCCGCGUGUGUGAAGAAGGCCUUCGGGUUGUAAAGCACUUUCAGUAGGGAGGAAGGUAGUGUAGUUAACACCUGCACUAUUUGACGUUACCUACAGAAGAAGCACCGGCUAACUCCGUGCCAGCAGCCGCGGUAAUACGGAGGGUGCGAGCGUUAAUCGGAAUUACUGGGCGUAAAGCGCAUGCAGGCGGCCUGUUAAGUCAGAUGUGAAAGCCCCGGGGCUUAACCUCGGAAUUGCAUUUGAAACUGGCAGGCUAGAGUCUUGUAGAGGGGGUAGAAUUUCAGGUGUAGCGGUGAAAUGCGUAGAGAUCUGAAGGAAUACCAGUGGCGAAGGCGGCCCCCUGGACAAAGACUGACGCUCAGAUGCGAAAGCGUGGGGAGCAAACAGGAUUAGAUACCCUGGUAG
rnacentral:rRNA from 1 species